GCGCUGGUAGCUCAACUGGACAGAGCAUCAGACUUCGGAUCUGAGGGUUGCAGGUUCGACUCCUGCCCGGCGCGC
rnacentral:tRNA from 1 species